UUCCUGGAGGACUAGUGGUUAGGCUACAGCACUCUCACUGCCAUGGCCCGGGUUCGAUUCCCAUACAGGGAA